GGAAAGUGAAGUCCUAUCCCAUACCUGCCUGUCACCCUCUUUUUUCUUGAAAACGCACCCUGAGAGCAGCCCCUCCCGCUCUU
rnacentral:misc_RNA from 1 species